ACUGCCUCUAUCUUAGAUAAACUCCUUUUUCAAGAAGAUGAAAUGAUGGCUCACAAUCACAUUAUGAUCCUCAAAAAGAUAAAAAAAGUAUCCUAUGAUUUUCUUAGGAUACCCUAUAAAAUGAGUCCUAAAGGAUCUAGCCUCAAACUUGUCCGUCUACUAUCGCUUGACAUAGGUCGAAUAUCUCCAAAUCUUGAGGUAC
rnacentral:lncRNA from 1 species